rnacentral:tRNA from 1 species
GGCGCCAUAGCCAAGCGGUAAGGCAGGGGCCUGCAAAGCCCUUAUCCCCAGUUCAAUUCUGGGUGGCGCCUCCA